CAUCCUGCAGUGAGACAGAAAGAAAGAGGAACACAGAAAGUCAUUUUGAUUAUUUUUAGCUACAGCUCCUACUCUGCAAACAUCGCAAGAAGAAUACAUAAAGCCUCUGAAAAUACAGCAUCUCUCAAUAGCAGACACUGAUGCCAGCAACUGGAGGAAGUGACAGGCUACAGGCUUCCAUAGUCCUGAUGCUCUGCUUCAUGCAAUGAGGCAAACUCGAUCAGAGGAGUGUGUUCUCAUAUACACAACACCUAGGUGGGAUUACCUUCUAACAGCUGUAUUAUAACAGAUUCUUCAGAUGAAGCAAAUGCUUAAUUCACGCUCAGUGGAAGAAAUGGUGAACCAUCUACAUUAUACUUUUCAACAACAAGUUGUGUCUACAGGAAUAACAUCCCCAAAGCAUAUUUAAACAUAUCUAAGUCCCCUACUGUCAAGAAAAGAACUAUUUUUACUUCUAAAGCAGACAAGUAGGUCAACAACUACCAAGCUGGAAAGAAAUAAGAACCUCAAACCUCCCACAAAUGGUAAAGCCUGACAACAAGCACAUUAAAUGAAGCCAUCUGAAACAGUGCUCACUGGCUCUGUGACAAAUCAUCAACCCAGAUACAUAUUUAAGUUUCAAGUAUUCAUUAGAAUAAACUAACGCCUUUGAUCAGAAAAGCUUGGCUGAAAUUGCACGUGGCAAAAGUGACUGAAAUAAGAUACAGUAGCAACAGUUAUUUAAUAGUAGAGCAAAUUCCAUUUAACCUGACAUGACACAAAAGCACAAAGAAUAUGACAGCAGCGGACAUGGAGGACAACCAUUGGCAUCAAGGCCUGGAAGGAAGAGAUGUGAAAGGAAAGGCUGAACGGGAAGAGAUUGGAACUACACACAGUGCUCCAGGCACAGAACCAAGAGGAAGCAGAACUCUAACCCCAUACACAAAAAGGGACUGAGUCACCCCUUCUACCACUAUUCCACUGAAGAUUUCCGGUAUUGUUUGGGGUUUUUGUUUGUUUGUUUGUUUUAAUAUCCACAAUUACUGCAAAAGUCUCAUUUUAUGUCUCCUACAACAAGAAAGAUUAACAAGGAACUUGGUUGCAUUCAGCUGCUUUAAUAAAAACAACACCACAGAGGUAUAUUACGCAACAGUGACUACAUAACUGCAAUAGAGAUACAGUGUUCUGGUUUAACAAACAUAUUUUAAAUCAUUUAUCAUCAAACUAAAAGCGGAUAAAAGCACAAAAAGUUGAUCAUCCCACUUCCCCUUUCUUAAGGCUGGAACAAUUCACAUCCUUUGUUUAAAUUCCUCUAGGUUUCCAUGGUAUAAGAGUCAUAGUAUUACCACUGGCAUCCACAGAACAGCACUCCUGAUAACUUAAUGAAUUACAACAUGUAAAAUAUUGGAGCAAAUUAGUAUUGCAUUUCUGUGUAUUUUGCCUUGUCUCUUCCCAGACUUCACCUCUCCUACAUUUCCCAUUUAGGAGACGGUAAAUAUUUAUUUAGCAUAUCUUUCAUAUGCAAGACUACUAUUUUCUAAUGUUUAAUCUAACAAUAGCACAGACGGAGUCUUCAUUUUGAUUUGUCCCCAAAAACAUUAAGCAGCAGAUUUCUCUCUUCAAGUGAAAAGAUUUUUAAACAUACAAGGAUUUAUGUGCUUGUUUUCUUUAAACUAUGUUCUCCUUCUGCCACAGUUAUUAAUUAA